rnacentral:sRNA from 1 species
GUGAAAUAGAAGGCCUGAAAAGAUUAGAAAGAAUGCAAGCUGUGAAAGAAAAGAUAAUGAAUUUGAAUGCUACACGAAAGGCAAGACAAGAAGCAAGGGCAGAAGAAAGGGCUGAGAAAGAGAUAGCGAAAGCUAGAAUGGAUGUGGCUCGUGAGAUUAGGUUGGCAAAAGAAGCUGAAGCAGAAAUGGAUCUUCAUGUGGCAAAUGCAGGAAAAAGGGUUGACCAAGAAAUAUAUAAGGUCACUGCUAAUAAUCCUCGUCUUGUUCAAGACGUCACUCUCACGGAUAGAGCUGCAAAUCCAAAGGGACCAAGA